rnacentral:rRNA from 1 species
AAUCCCGACUUUUCGGAAGGGAUGCACUUAUUAGAUACCAAACUGACCAGGGUACCCCCCUGUUAUUGGUGAAUCAUAAUAAUCCAGCUAACCGUAUGGUCUUGUCCCGACGGUAGAUCAAUCAAGUUUCUGCCCUAUCAACUUUCGAUGGUAGAGUAUUGGACUACCAUGGUGAUAACGGGUAACGGGGAAUUAGGGUUCGGUUCCGGAGAGGGAGCCUGAGAGAUGGCUACCACUUCCAAGGAAGGCAGCAGGCGCGCAAAUUACCCAAUCCCGAUACGGGGAGGUAGUGACAAAAAAUAACGAUGCAGGUCUCCUUACGGGGACUUGCAAUCGGAAUGAGCACAAUUUAAAAAGCUUACCGAGGAACAAUU